CCUGAGUACGACGGAGCACGUGAAAUUCCGUCGGAAUCUGGGAGGACCAUCUCCUAAGGCUAAAUACUCUCUAGUGACCGAUAGUGAACCAGUACCGUGAGGGAAAGGUGAAAAGUACCCCGGAAGGGGAGUGAAAGAGAACUUGAAACCGUGUGCUUACAAGUAGUCAGAGCCCGUUAAUGGGUGAUGGCGUGCCUUUUGUAGAAUGAACCGGCGAGUUACGAUCUGAUGCAAGGUUAAGCAGAA
rnacentral:rRNA from 1 species